CUCCUUACCUCAGGAAUCUAUGAUAGCUAGGCUCUGGGAGUUACUGACUUAAAGGGGCUUGCUUUUGACAUGUGAUUUUCAAAGUUAAUUUAAAAUGAGAAGAUAUACAUUUUAAAAUAUUUGUAGCAUUAAAUCUGUCUCUGAGUUAUGGCAGUUAGCUUGCUUUGUACAUAUCCUAUGCUAAUAAAAUACCUGAUAUUGUGCCUUGUUAACCAUCAAUGAACAUAUAUUUUUCCAUUGAUGUACUUUUCUUGUAUAGGGCUAUGGUGAAUAAAAUUAUAUACACAAUUCAUCCCUUUUUCUAUCUACGACUGGAAAACAGAAAAAGAAUUCUGCUGACUAUCCUGAUGGCAGGAUACUAUGAUUCUCCCUGAAGACCCAAAUGUACUUCAACAAAGGAAACUGCUUGAGUCUCUAAAAGGAAAUGGACUAGUUCUCCAUAACAGACCUUGGUCUGUGCCAACUGUGUAAUUUCAACCCAACAAGAAACUUAAAUUUCUUGAGAAGAUCAGCACCUACAAAAGAGUCACAGAGGUACAAGAGGAGUCCACUGAAAAACACCCCUUCACAGUUGACAUUGCUGGAGUGGGGUCUGGAG